UUUAUAAAUUAUAAAAUGAUAGAGUAAUUUGUUACAUCUACAAAGCAAAAAAUAAAUGGCUUUAGUUUUCAAGUUUGAUUAUGUUAUGAUUGUAUCUAUUUUCAUAUUUCUCGUUGCACCAAACAUUGAAGGUAAAUUAUGUUAUAUUCUUUAUAAAUUAUAUUCUUUAAUUCCUACACUAUUUUAUCAAAUAUUAAUUAACUCAUUUUUUUUACAGCACCUUCUGGUUUAAGAUGUUUAAAUGAUUCUGAUUGUCUACGUUUUCGGUGUUCAAAAAUAUAUAAAGUGCUUUGUAUUGAAAGACGAUGUAGACGUAUUAAAAUGCAUUAAAUUUGUGAAUGAUUUUGUAUUUAUUUCAUACUUAACAUUUGACAUAAAUAUUCUGCUAAAAAAUUUCAUAAAUUGUCCUUUAAUAUUUCUUGAUUUAUGGUAAUAAAAUGAAUUGAGAUAGAAAAUAAUAUUAAUUAGGUUGUAUAAAAAAUAAUAAUUUAAUUAAGCAUGUCAUGUUAUAUUCAUGUCAUAAUAUUGGUACACUGGUGACCUUUCUCAUCAUUUAAUAUAUAUUUCUCUUACAUUAUUAUUAUUAUUAUUAUUAUUAUUAUUAUUAUUUUUUUAUUUUAUUUUAUUAUUAUUAUUAGUAGUAGUAUUAUUAUUAGUAUUAUUAUUAUUAUUAUUAUUAUUAUUAUUAUUAUUAUUAUUAUUAUUAUUAUUAUUAUUAUGAUUUAUUAUACUUUUGAUUAUAUAAUUAUAUGUAUAUUUCUCUUUUAAAUAGAUUAAAAAAGAAUAUCACUACAGAAAUAUUAAAAUCUACUACAAUAACUAAAUGUGUGAUUAAUAUUUAUUUCAUUUCAAUGUAAAAUUUGUAUAACUAAAGUCAAUAUAAUUAUCUAAGGUGCACAUUUAUCUCAAGAAUCAUUUUCUCUUAUUUAAUUCUCAAACUUUGCGUUGGAUUUAACUCUCAAAUUUAUCAAAGUCCUCAACAAAGUCACUAUCAUAUUUCUAAACAUAAUAUAUAAUCAUUUGAAUUAAAUGUGAAACUUUAUAUGUGACUAUACUCGCAUUACAUAAUAAAAUUAAGUUUCCUAAUACUUUUUGAUACUUAGACUUUUUAUUUUUUGGACCGUGUCAAAGGUUGAUGACACCUCCUCAUCUAUAACAUAUUUAUUAAAUAUUAAUGCUCAUCUCCCAUGUUUCCUUUUUUCUCUUCGUAAAGUGCUACAAGCAUAGUUUUAAAUUGCAUUUACAAUUGUAACCAAGACUUUAAUAUUGCUGACACCGUAAUCUUUAACACCGCAUCAAAUUAAAAUUAAAGUGUGAAUUAAAAUCUUGCUUGCGAAUUUACUUAUAUUUGUAUAGUUACUUUUAUCAUAAAUCAAAAUUUUAGAGCCCAAAAACACUUACAAAAUGUUGCCAGAACAAUAGAAAAAUAUUGCCUAAGAGAAAAGGGAAUGUUUUUCAAAUGUCUUAUAAACGAGCAUUGCCUAUUGUACAUGGCUACGCUGUUAUUUCUCUUUAGGUACACUAUUCAUAAACGUUUAUUCUGAUUAUCUAAGGCAACACUUUUCAAUUGUUUCCAAAUCUGCUGGCAACUUAGAAACGAUACUUUAAGUAAUGGUAGCCACUAUUUUUUUUAUAUAAAAAAAAUUAUUAUUAUUAUAUUGUCUUACAUUUUACUUUCACUUUCAUUUUAAUCCCCUGCAAUCAACUUCAUAACUUCCAUUUUUCAUAUAUGAAACAUGAAUGAUAUAAUUAAGUCCCAAACCAUUUUUUUUCAUUUAAACUAAUACAAAACAAUAUCUACAAUAUAUAUAAUACAAUCCUCUUUCAAUAUUGUUUUACAAUAUAAUCAUCUCUCAUUUUUUAUUAAUCACAACAGUUUGAUACAAAAUCAAAAAUAUAAAUGUAUUAAAAAGUGAACAAACACUCCAAACCUCAUCACCAAAAGAAUAAGAAAAAAAAAAGAGGUUUGAUCCGCAAGAAUUUUUCAAAAAUGUUGUGUGGUGAAUUAUCUACAUGGGGAAAUCGAAAGAGGAGAACAAGCUACUUUAUUGUCCUAUUUUAUUAUAUUUUGUGAUUGAAAAUAUCUUGACAAAUAUUAAAUAAAGUUAAUUGUAACAAUAACAUAUAUUAUUAUUAUUAUUAUUAUUAUUAUUAUUAUUAUUAUUAAGUAAAUAUGUGUUUUGAGAUUAAUAUUAAGAAUAAUGAAAACUAUAUUAACCAUUUGAUUAAGU
rnacentral:lncRNA from 1 species